CUCAGCUGGGAGAGCGCCUGCCUUGCACGCAGGAGGUCAGCGGUUCGAUCCCGCUAGGCUCCA
rnacentral:tRNA from 1 species